UAAGUAAGCUUUGAUCCAGAGAUUUCCGAAUGGGGAAACCCAGCAUGAGUUAUGUCAUGUUAUCGAUAUGUGAAUACAUAGCAUAUCAGAAGGCACACCCGGAGAACUGAAACAUCUUAGUACCCGGAGGAAGAGAAAGAAAAUUCGAUUCCCUUAGUAGCGGCGAGCGAAACGGGAAGAGCCCAAACCAACAAGCUUGCUUGUUGGGGUUGUAGGACACUCUAUACGGAGUUACAAAGGACGACAUUAGACGAAUCAUCUGGAAAGAUGAAUCAAAGAAGGUAAUAAUCCUGUAGUCGAAAAUGUUGUCUCUCUUGAGUGGAUCCUGAGUACGACGGAGCACGUGAAAUUCCGUCGGAAUCUGGGAGGACCAUCUCCUAAGGCUAAAUACUCUCUAGUGACCGAUAGUGAACCAGUACCGUGAGGGAAAGGUGAAAAGCACCCCGGAAGGGGAGUGAAAUAGAACCUGAAACCGUGUGCUUACAAGUAGUCAGAGCCCGUUAAUGGGUGAUGGCGUGCCUUUUGUAGAAUGAACCGGCGAGUUACGAUUUGAUGCAAGGUUAAGCAGUAAAUGUGGAGCCGUAGCGAAAGCGAGUCUGAAUAGGGCGUUUAGUAUUUGGUCGUAGACCCGAAACCAGGUGAUCUACCCUUGGUCAGGUUGAAGUUCAGGUAACACUGAAUGGAGGACCGAACCGACUUACGUUGAAAAGUGAGCGGAUGAACUGAGGGUAGCGGAGAAAUUCCAAUCGAACCUGGAGAUAGCUGGUUCUCUCCGAAAUAGCUUUAGGGCUAGCCUCAAGUGAUGAUUAUUGGAGGUAGAGCACUGUUUGGACGAGGGGCCCCUCUCGGGUUACCGAAUUCAGACAAACUCCGAAUGCCAAUUAAUUUAACUUGGGAGUCAGAACAUGGGUGAUAAGGUCCAUGUUC
rnacentral:rRNA from 1 species